UGACUCUAGAUCUGGCGGGACUACCCGUUGUGUUUAAACAUAUUAAUAAGUGGAGGAAGAGAAAUUCACAUGGAUUCCCAUAGUAAUGAUGACUGAAUCGAGAGAAGUCUAGCUUGAGAAUCUACCAUCAUCGACGUCCAAAUUGAAGUCUGAAGAAGCAUCCUCAGUGACGGAUCGAGCACAAUUCCCCUUGAAGGGGGCGCUAGAGACAAUGAGAGCCUCGUUGCGCUCGAACUUUGUUGUACAUGUGGCAUUGUUAACGAGUUGGGUUGUUUGGGAAUACAGCUACAAUAGUUGAAUGUGGAACGGUGAUGAGCCAGUCUGCCAAUUUACUUGCGGCAUGGACCGAUGCGGAAUGAGAUAGCAGCCCUUGGUACACUUGUGGAGACGUCGUCGUCUUGAUUGUGGAUGGUAGCACACGCCUUCUGACGUGCACACACUCCUAGCAUCGACCUGUGGGCUCCUCAUUCGACCAGUCUUGAAAGAUGGACGAAGCAAUCUGACAUAUGUUCAAGUGAAGGGGCGAGUAAACCUGUAAGGAGCAAGGAAGUUUACUGGUGGGAUGCCCUAGUAAGUUGCACCACCGACCGACCUUGAUCUUCUUAGAAGGGUUCAAGUGUGAGCAUGUUUGUCAGGAUUCAAAAGAUGUGGGGCGAAGCCAAAGGAAACUAUGAUGGAAGUCAGUAGAGAUGCUAACGUGCAAAUCAUUUGUCUAACUUGGGUAAAAGACUAAUCAAACGCCCUUGACCUAUUCUCAAAACAUAAACAGGUAGGAUGGGUGGUUGCUUUGUUUAGCCAUACCAUGUGACCGAGAGCUCUAAGUUGGCUAUUUUUUGGGAAGCAGAACUUGCGAUAUGAGAUCAAUCUAGGUUACGGUGCCUAAGUGUGUACUAACCUAGAUCCCACAAAGGGUGUUGGUCGAUUAAAACAACAAGACGGUGGUCAUGAAAGUCAAAAUCUGCUAAGGAGUGUGUAACAACACAUCUGCCGAAUCAACUAGCCCUAUAAAUGGAUGGCACUGAAGCAUGCGACCUAUACCCGAUUGUCGGGGCAAGAGCAAGCCCCCGAUUAGUAGGAGGGUGCAAUGGUCGCUGCAAAACCUAUCUAAUAGUACAAUAGCCCAACCUUCGAAAGGGAAUCUGGUUAAAAUUCCUAAAUUGGGACGUGGUAACCAAUGUUAACCAAGGGGCCUUUCCUGGGCUCAAAUAGUCAACUCAAAAUUGGUAUAAAGAAGGAGAAUCCAACUAUUUAAUUAAAACAAACAUUGUGAUGGUUCUUACGGAUGCUAACACAAUGUGAUUUUUGCCUCGUGCUCUGAAUGCUAAAGUGAAUAAAUUCAACCAAGCGUAGGUAAACGGCGAGAGUAACUAUGACUCUUUUAAGGUAGCCAAAUGCCUCUCAUCUAAUGAGUGACGUUUAUGAAUGGAUCCAUUAUCUCUAUCUACUAUCCAGAGAAACCACAACCAAGGGAACGAGCUUGGUGGAAUGAGCGGGGAAAGAAGACUCUCUUGUGCUUGGCUCUUGUCCAAGUUUGUGAAAUGACUUGAGACGUGUAAGAUAAGUAGGAGUCGAAAGGCGAAAGUGAAAUACCACUACUUUUAACAUUAUUUUACUUAUUCCUUGAGACGGGAGAAGGUAAUGCCCCUCUUUUUAACUUAGAAUUUAGUUCUUAUAUUUAACUUAGGUUUUGUGAAGAAAAAAAUGCUUGUUCUUCUUUUUUUAAAAAAAAAAACUGUACAAUCAAAAUCCCAAUCUGGAUAUAACCUAUGUUAAACAAAUAAAAGAGGUGUGAUAGUGUGCUACUUGGCACAAAAUUUGUUGGUGAAACAUACAAGGUUAAAAGUUAAGGAAAAAACACCAAAAAAUUGUCAAUAGUGCUAAACUAUUAGAAAAAAUACUUGAAUGCUACAAAAAGAAAAAACAAUCAAUAAAAAAAUAAGGGAGAGCAAGUUAAGAAGAAAAAAAAAUUAAAAGUAAAAAAGAAAAGGAGAUAUGAAAAAAUAUAGACUUAACUCCCCUAUUUCUAGUGACAACUUUCAUAAUCCUAGUUUGACUUUAUAAAACUAAUUUAGAUAGAUAUCAUUUUAAGAAUUUUUAAUUUUAAAAAUAACCUUUUAUCUAACUUGAAUAAGAAUAGAAAAACUGUGUCUUAUAGCACAAAUUGAAAAAUCAAAAUAAUUUAAGCUAGAGGAAACAAUAUUUGCAAAAAUGACAAUUUUUUACUAGUAAAGUGGUGAGCCUUUUUAAAAUGUCAAUUUUGCCCUUCAAUUUUCUUCCUCUUAUGCUAUUAAUGAUGACUUCUAUUACUGAUGUCAUAUUUAAAGGGAUAAAAAGUCCUUUACAACGGAAGAAUUACAGAGAUUCAGUUUUAAUUGGAACCUUAAAAAAUACCAAUACAUUGUCAAAAUUACAAAAAUAAUUUCUAUGGCUAAACAUGCUUUGAAAAAAAUACAGAGAAUAAGAACUUAUUCUCGUCGACGACUCUGAAUCUACCAAAAACCAACUUGGGGCACCACCACUUGGAAACCUUCUUAUUCUUUGAUUCAGAUGGUUUGUGGGAACCAAAUUGGAUUGAAGAAAUUUUUCUUUACAGAGAAAACGUUUUUAGAGAGAAUGGGAGAGUCACAGAAUUCGCAGAGCUCACCUUCAAUUUUGUUACGCAAAAAUUCCCUC
rfam:Cucumis melo, WGS project CAJI01000000 data, contig: 13606